UACGGAGGGUGCAAGCGUUAAUCGGAUUUAUUGGGCGUAAAGGGGGCGUAGGCGGGAAAGCAAGUCAGAUGUGAAAUUCCGGGGCUCAACCUCGGAGCUGCAUUUGAAACUCCUUUUCUUGAGGAAAGGCGGAGAAAACGGAAUUCCACAAGUAGCGGUGAAAUGCGUAGAUAUGUGGAAGAACACCUGUGGCGAAAGCGGUUUUCUAGCUUAUUCCUGACGCUGAGGCCCGAAAGCUAGGGGAGCAAACAGG
rnacentral:rRNA from 1 species